rnacentral:lncRNA from 1 species
UCAAUGAUACGUUGAUCAGCACCCUGCUUUGCAUGCGCGACCAGAGAAAGGAUGUUUUUGCAUCCCUUCUCAAAUCAAAAAAAUCUUUAAAAAUCCACAUUAAUAAAGGAUUCAAUCUUGAUUCUAUAACACCUAAUGAGUAGAAAAAAAUUCUCACAAAUGGAUAUGUUCUCAAAUCCUUUCAUGCAAAGGCUGAUCAUCACGCGCACACACAC